GGAAAGGUGAAAAGAACCCCGAACAGGGGAGUGAAAUAGAACCUGAAACCAUACGCUUACAACCGGUCGGAGCAGUUUCGUGCUGUGACGGCGUGCCUAUUGAAUAAUGAGCCUACGAGUUACUAAUCACUAGCGAGGUUAAGUGCAAGGAUGCACGGAGCCGAAGCGAAAGCGAGUCUGAACAGGGCGUUUAGUUAGUGGUUGUAGACGCGAAACCUUGCGAUCUACCCUUGAGCAGGUUGAAGGUUGGGUAAAACCAACUGGAGGACCGAACGAAUAAGCGUUGAAAAGCUUCUCGAUGACUUGAGGGUAGGGGUGAAAGGCUAAUCAAGCUGGGAAAUAGCUCGUACUCCCCGAAAUGCCUUUUGGGGCAGCGUUGUAAUAAAGAGUCUACUGGAGGUAGAGCUACUGAUUGGAUGCGGGGGCUUCACCGCCUACCAAAUCCUGACAAACUCCGAAUGCCAGUAGUAUGAUUUACAGCAGUGAGUGACUGGGUGCUAAUGUCCAGUCGCAAAAGAGGAACAACUCAGACCAGCAACUAAGGUCCCGAAGAAUAUGCUAAGUUGAUCUAACGAUGUUUUGUUGCAGAGACAGCUAGGAUGUUAGCUUGGAAGCAGCUAUUCAUUCAAAGAGUGCGUAACAGCUCACUAGUCGAGCGACAGAGCGUGGAUAAUAAACGGGCAUCAAGCAUAUCACCGAAGUUCUGGGCGCGAGAGCGCGGUAGGGGAGCAUUCCAUUCAGCGUCGAAGCAGUUUCGUGAGGAAUUGUGGAGCGUAUGGAAAAGCAAAUGUAGGCAUGAGUAACGAUAAUGCGGGAGAGUAACCCGCACACCGCAAGACCAAGGUUUCCUGAUCAACGCUAAUCGGAUCAGGGUUAGUCGGGUCCUAAGGGUAAGCCGAACGGCGAUCUCGAUGGAUAAUCGGUUAAUAUUCCGAUACUAACAUAUACCUCGAUGGAGAGACGAAGGAACGUAAGUGCCGCCACCUGACGGAAUAGGUGGUUAAAGGGCGUAGGUAUAGGGGCAGAUUAAGAGUUAGUCCUUGCUGAAACCUGACAGUACAGAGAGCCUACGGGCAAUUUGAUAGAGCACCCAAGUCGACUUCCGAGAAAAUCUUCUAAGUUAUAGUAUAUGUUACCCGUACCGUAAACCGACACAGGUGGUCGAGGAGAGUAUCCUAAGGUGCUCGAGUGAAUCACGGUUAAGGAACUAGGCAAAUUAACCCCGUAACUUCGGGAAAAGGGGUCCCUAUGAAAGUAGGGCGCAGCGAAGAGGUCCAGGCGACUGUUUAUCAAAAACACAGGGCUCUGCAAAUUCGAAAGAAGACGUAUAGGGCCUGACACCUGCCCGGUGCUGGAAGGUUAAGAGGAGAUGUCAUCGCAAGAGAAGCAUUGAAUUGAAGCCCCAGUAAACGGCGGCCGUAACUAUAACGGUCCUAAGGUAGCGAAAUUCCUUGUCGGGUAAGUUCCGACCUGCACGAAUGGUGUAACGAUCUGGACACUGUCUCAACCGUGAGCUCGGUGAAAUUGUAGUCCCGGUGAUGAUGCCGGGUACCCGCAACGGGACGAAAAGACCCCGUGAACCUUUACUAUAGCUUAACGCUGAAUUUGGGUACACAAUGUGUAGGAUAGGCCGGAGGCUUUGAAGCGGGCACGCCAGUGUUCGUGGAGCCGACGUUGAAAUACGGCCCUUUGUGUAUUUGAGUUCUAACCCUGCGAAGGGGACACCGUUUGGUGGGUAGUUUGACUGGGGUGGUCGCCUCCAAAAGCGUAACGGAGGCUUCCCAAGGUACCCUCAGCACGAAUGGUAACCGUGCGCGGAGUGCAAUAGCAUAAGGGUGCUUGACUGUGAGACAUACAAGUCGACCAGGUACGAAAGUAGGGUAUAGUGAUCCGGUGGUUCUGCGUGGACUGGCCAUCGCUCAAAGGAUAAAAGGUACUCCGGGGAUAACAGGCUGAUCGCCGCCAAGAGCUCAUAUCGACGCGGCGGUUUGGCACCUCGAUGUCGGCUCGUCACAUCCUGGGGCUGGAGAAGGUCCCA
rnacentral:rRNA from 1 species